AAAAAACAUAUAGUCAAGCGAGGUCGGCCCAGGGGUUCAAAGACUAAGAAGAAAGUCACAUUAGCCUAUAUGAGUAAUGCUAAUGCUACUACUGGACAUGAAGUAGAUGUUAUGUGCCAAGGUGAGUAUGAGAAAAGGAUCACAAUGGCUGGUCAAAAUGGAGUAAUUCUGAAUGAGGAUCAAGGUAUGAUAGUCAAGAAGAAGGACAGGCGUGGCAGAUCCAGAGGUUCAAAGACCAAGAGCAAAGUUAUACCAGGUCAUUCUAGUGGUACUAAUACUGAUGAUGGGGACAUGGAUGCAGUCAG
rnacentral:misc_RNA from 1 species